UUGCGGUCAAAUCACGUUGAAACACCGGUUUCCGUACGAUCACCGAAAUUAAGCAACCUCGAGCCUGGUCACUACCUAGAGAACUGACAGCUUGCGAAUACCAGGUGUUAUA